rnacentral:rRNA from 1 species
GGGUACGAGUUCACUCCAACCCCUGUGACAUACCUAUACGUUGCCUCGGCGGAUCAGCCCGCGCCCUGUAAAAAGGGACGGCCCGCCCGAAGACCCCUAAACUCUGUUUUUAGUGGAACUUCUGAGUAAAACAAACAAAUAAAUCAAAACUUUCAACAACGGAUCUCUUGGUUCUGGCAUCGAUGAAAAACGCAGCAAAAUGCGAUAAGUAAUGUGAAUUGCAGAAUUCAGUGAAUCAUCGAAUCUUUGAACGCACAUUGCGCCCGCCAGUAUUCUGGCGGGCAUGCCUGUUCGAGCGUCAUUUCAACCCUCAAGCUCAGCUUGGUGUUGGGACUCGCGGUAACCCGCGUUCCCCAAAUCGAUUGGCGGUCACGUCGAGCUUCCAUAGCGUAGUAAUCAUACACCUCGUUACUGGUAAUCGUCGCGGCCACGCCGUAAAACCCCAACUUCUGAAUGUUGACCUCGGAUCAGGUAGGAAUACCCGCUGAACUUAAGCAUAUCAAAAGCCGGGAGGAAGCAUAUCAAUAAGACGGAGGAA